GUGAUUUUUUUUUCUACGAAGGAUUGACUUGAAUUACAUGACAAAGUCGUUCACUUCAUUUUCAGUCAGCCACCAAAUACUAUUUCGACCGAUACCAGCCAUAGAGGUGUACCGCUAAAUCAGAAGUGAGAAACCCACGUUACUCUGAAAUGUAAUUUACUGGGACUUCAAGUUCUUUCCCUAUUUGUGUUUUGUGUAAGAAGGAAAGCCGGGUCGAAAGUAUGAAGAGUAUAUAAUGAGUUUUAUAAUUUGUUUCGUACCAACAUUUCCUCCCUACACCUCUAGAUAAAGAAUACAUCACUAGUUGAAUAAGACGACAGGCGAAAUUUGAAGUUCCAGUCACAUCUACACAACAAUUUUUGACUCAACUCUCAGUAUAGUCAGAAAACAUGGCGCGACACAUUUCUUACGUUCUUCACUCCGGUUUCUAAAUUGUUCCUCACUUCUUUUUUGAAUGGUCAUUCACAAUAGAAACCAAAUUGUCCUCAUACCUUACCAUCUAGAAAGGUUACAUCAGAUAAUGCAGUUGUAAUUAGCUAUAAAAAUAAACGAGGUGAAUCAUUCACGAUAAACCUACUCAGUCAGAAUUGACCUGGGGUUAAAUAACUACAGCCUCCAUUUACAACCAACCAACGCCAUUAUUCAGUCAAAGGACUCAACCCAACAUGAUAGACCAUUUCUCUUUUAAAGGUACGCAUCAACGAGUCUGUUGAUUGCUGUUUUGACGAUGUAAACCAAAAUAUUUCUUCUUUAGGUUACAGUAAAUCUUUUUCAUUUAU